GAAAAGUUUGGUUAUUACCAGCAAUUAAAUAGUCAAAAAUAAAGAAGAGAACCCCAUAUCACUGCUAAGCAGCCAGACACCAAUUAGAUGCAUUGCUUUUCAGGAUCACCAUUCACAUCACUUUACCCAGGUUUCAACCUACGCUGUGAAGCAACAUUUCAAAGACAAUUAAAACAUCAUAAGCAAUCAUGUGUGAAUACUUCUGAACACAGCUACUAAAUAAGAAACAAUGACAGAUCAGCAAAGGGAGAAAUCAUAGGGUUUAAUCUAACCCUUAAUGGGUGUUUAUUAUGCAAAUGAUUAUCCCAAUUUAGAACUAGCCACUUUUUACAGACUGGAACUAUAUCACAGCUUUUUCCAUGCUGAAUUCAAGGCUCCGUGGAGAUGGUGUUCAACAAGUUUAUGGGCAGUGAAUACAGAACCGAGACUGACCAUUCCAUGUCCACGUGGACAGAAAGCCACUGGUACAUGCCAACAACUGGUUAGCACCAGAGCCCGGAAGUGGAAGAGUUUCACCUGGCCUCACAACUGCUGCAGAUCUGACAGAAGUAUUUAGAAAAGCGCUGCCUUGAGGGAGAAGAGUGGCUGCCUCCGAGCUGACCAAAGGAGCCCAGGUCUUGUGGGAUGCUGGCAAUGGGCUCAAGCAGCACAGAUGAGAAGGCUUUACUGGACUGACCAAAGCAGCUUCCAGCCCAUCACUCCCUGAAGGACUGCAUUCCCUUCACGGAGAUCUCCCCAGAGCCCUCCCCUGGAUGCUCACCACGAGGACUAUUCAUAUCCACCCUCACUUGAGACAGGACCACACUCCUGUUUGGGUACCAAAUCUGUACAGGGAGGAAUCCCAGUCAGACAGGUAGCACACCGUGGACUUUGCCAUCUCAUCACCCCCCUUUAGCUCUUGGCAGGUGAUUCAAAGUACCAUGCGAAAUGAAUGUAGACCCCUGCCAGCUGGAAUUCCCCUGUGCUGGAGAAGGCCAGUUCUGUCACCCAGCAGCAAGGACUUGAACCCAGGAUACACUGCCCUGCAGUCACAAGGGAAAACAGGACUUCCAGCUGGUUGCUGAAAACAUGAGAG
ensembl:lncRNA